rnacentral:rRNA from 1 species
GAUGAACGCUGGCGGCGUGCUUAACACAUGCAAGUCGAACGAAGCACUUUAUUUGAUUUCCUUCGGGACUGAUUAUUUUGUGACUGAGUGGCGGACGGGUGAGUAACGCGUGGGUAACCUGCCUUGUACAGGGGGAUAACAGUUGGAAACGGCUGCUAAUACCGCAUAAGCGCACGGCAUCGCAUGAUGCAGUGUGAAAAACUCCGGUGGUAUAAGAUGGACCCGCGUUGGAUUAGCUAGUUGGUGAGGUAACGGCCCACCAAGGCGACGAUCCAUAGCCGACCUGAGAGGGUGACCGGCCACAUUGGGACUGAGACACGGCCCAAACUCCUACGGGAGGCAGCAGUGGGGAAUAUUGCACAAUGGGCGAAAGCCUGAUGCAGCGACGCCGCGUGAGCGAAGAAGUAUUUCGGUAUGUAAAGCUCUAUCAGCAGGGAAGAUAAUGACGGUACCUGGCUAAGAAGCACCGGCUAAAUACGUG